UUAAGUUCAGCGGGUAGUCCUACCUGAUUUGAGGUCAAAAUGAGAUUGUAAGCAGUCAAGUCCCCAGGUUUUGAAAUGGUGCUACAAGUGUUUCCUAUCACACCACCAAACUCGUAUAGAAGACCAGCUGAUGAAUUUAGGAUGAGCCAAGAUAUUAUCAGAACGAUCACCCCUGGCAUUUCAUCCAAAUCCAAGCCCAC
rnacentral:misc_RNA from 1 species